rfam:Ovis aries breed Texel chromosome 1, whole genome shotgun sequence.
ACCUACACGUGCUUUCUUGCUAGAACUUGUCAAACAAGUUCUCAAGGUCUAUUUGUAGGACAGCAUAGGGUGGUUAAGCUUCUAAGACUACAGACACAUCCAAAUGAAAUGCUGCCUGCAGCAGUCUGGCUUUCUUU